AGGAUUAACGCUGGCGGCGUGCAUGAAACAUGCAGGUCGAGCGCGGCGCGUGGCUUCGGUCACGCGUCUAGCGGCGCACGGGUGAGUAACACGUGAGCAACCUACCUUCGAGUUCGGGAUAGCCCUGGGAAACCAGGAUUAAUACCGGAUGUGGUCACAACGGGACAUCCCGAUGUGAAAAAAGGCGCAAGCCGCUCGAUGACGGGCUCGCGGCCUAUUAGCUUGUUGGUGGGGUAACGGCCUACCAAGGCGACGAUGGGUAGCUGGUCUGAGAGGACGAUCAGCCACACUGGGACUGAGACACGGCCCAGACUCCUACGGGGAGGCAGCAGUUAGGAAUUUUCCGCAAUGGGCGAAAGCCUGACGGAGCAACGCCGCGUGUGUGAUGAAGGCCUUCGGGUUGUAAAGCACUGGUCGGAGGGGAAGAAUGAAUGACGGUACCCUCAAGAAGCCCCGGCUAACUACGUGCCAGCAGCCGCGGU
rnacentral:rRNA from 1 species